rnacentral:rRNA from 1 species
AACGAACGCUGGCGGCAUGCCUAACACAUGCAAGUCGAACGAGACCUUCGGGUCUAGUGGCGCACGGGUGCGUAACGCGUGGGAACCUGCCCUUAGGUUCGGAAUAACUCCCCGAAAGGGGUGCUAAUACCGGAUAAUUUCUUCGGACCAAAGAUUUAUCGCCUUUGGAUGGGCCCGCGUUGGAUUAGCUAGUUGGUAGGGUAAAAGCCUACCAAGGCGACGAUCCAUAGCUGGUCUGAGAGGAUGAUCAGCCACACUGGGACUGAGACACGGCCCAGACUCCUACGGGAGGCAGCAGUGGGGAAUAUUGGACAAUGGGCGAAAGCCUGAUCCAGCAAUGCCGCGUGAGUGAUGAAGGCCUUAGGGAUGUAAAGCUCUUUUACACGGGAUGAUAAUGACAGUACCGGGAGAAUAAGCACCGGCUAACUCCGUG